UCGAUGCUCCCUGAAGUCAGCGGCGGACGGGUGAGUAACACGUGGGCAACCUGCCUGUAAGACUGGGAUAACUUCGGGAAACCGGAGCUAAUACCGGAUUUCACCGAGGACCUCAUGGUCCUUGGUUGAAAGAUGGCUUCGGCUAUCACUUACAGAUGGGCCCGCGGCGCAUUAGCUAGUUGGUGAGGUAACGGCUCACCAAGGCGACGAUGCGUAGCCGACCUGAGAGGGUGAUCCCGGACACUGGGACUGAGACACGGCCCAGACUCCUACGGGAGGCAGCAGUAGGGAAUCUUCCGCAAUGGACGAAAGUCUGACGGAGCAACGCCGCGUGAGCGAUGAAGGCCUUCAAAUCGUGGGGCUCUGUUGUUAGGGAAGAACAAGUACCGUUCGAAUAGGGCGGUACCUUGACGGUACCUAACCAGAAAGCCACGGCUAACUACGUGCCAGCAGCCGCGGUAAUACGUAGGUGGCAAGCGUUGUCCGGAAUUAUUGGGCGUAAAGCGCGCGCAGGCGGUUCCUUAAGUAGUCUGUGAAAGCCCACGGCUCAACCGUGGAGGG
rnacentral:rRNA from 1 species